rnacentral:rRNA from 1 species
UACGUAGGGUGCAAGCGUUGUCCGGAUUUACUGGGCGUAAAGGGCGUGCAGGCGGUCUGUUAAGUUCAGGGUGAAAGCUCCCGGCUCAACUGGGAGAGGUCCUUGGAUACUGGCAGACUCGAGGGAGGUAGAGGAGAGUGGAAUUCCCGGUGUAGUGGUGAUAUGCGUAGAUAUCGGGAGGAACACCAGUGGCGAAGGCGGAUCUCUGGGCCGAUACUGACGCUGAGGAGCGAAAGCGUGGGGAGCGAACAGG